ACGGUUACCUUGUUACGACUUCACCCCAGUUAUCGGUCCCGCCUUCGGCAGCUCCCUCCGGUUAUGGUUGGGUCACUGACUUCGGGCGUUACUGACUCCCAUGGUGUGACGGGCGGUGUGUACAAGACCCGGGAACGUAUUCACCGCGACAUUCUGAUUCGCGAUUACUAGCGAUUCCAGCUUCAUGUAGUCGAGUUGCAGACUACAAUCCGAACUGAGACGUUAUUUCUGGGAUUUGCUCGCACUCGCGUGUUCGCUUCCCUUUGUUUACGCCAUUGUAGCACGUGUGUAGCCCUGGUCAUAAGGGGCAUGAUGAUUUGACGUCAUCCCCACCUUCCUCCAGGUUGUCCCUGGCAGUCUCUCCAGAGUGCCCAUCCCAAAUGCUGGCUACUGAAGAUAGGGGUUGCGCUCGUUGCGGGACUUAACCCAACAUCUCACGACACGAGCUGACGACAACCAUGCACCACCUGUCUCCCCUGUCCCGAAGGAAAGGUGACAUUACUCACCGGUCAAGGGGAUGUCAA
rnacentral:rRNA from 1 species